AGUUUUUGAACGCAAGUUGCGCCCGAAGCCAUUUGGUUGAGGGCAUGUCUGCCUGGGCGUCACGC
rnacentral:rRNA from 1 species